GAAGGCAAUUGAUGCAAUUUUCUUAUUAUACACACUGAAUAUCUGUGUGGACUAAACUCCGCUUAUUAUCUGAUGCCUUG